UCAGUUGGCCACAGUCAGGGAACACUUCAAAGACAUAACAAAUGAAUUAGAAAAUAUUCCUUCACAGGGACAGGUAUCUCAGGCACGAACAAGAAGCCCUACUGCACUUGUCAAUGGAGAAUCAACACUGGGACCAAGGACCGCAAGAAAAAGGAGGCAUGAAACCAUUGAAGCUGCUGCCAAAAUUCAUGGGAGCUCAAAUGAACAUUCCUCAGCCUGUUUCGAGGGAAUGUUUCACACUCUGCAAAAGAGAUGCAAGUUAGAUAAGUUAACAAAAUAUGUGACAGAGAACAAGCAGUUGACCAAUAGAAUAGUUUGUAAAGAGUAUAAGAAGAGUGUGUUAGAAUUUGAAAAGUCAGAUGACAACAUUGUUCGAAGUAUUGCAACAUAUUAUGCAAGUGGUGUAAUGGGGAAACGAAAGUACAAAAGUGUAAGACUGGUGCUUUCAAUGAAAUCAAAUGAAGGCAAACCAGGGAAAAGAACAA